GAUGAACGCUAGCGGGAGGCUUAACACAUGCAAGCCGAGGGGUAUAGAUAGCUUGCUAUUUUGAGACCGGCGCACGGGUGAGUAACGCGUAUGAAACUUGCCUCAGUCAAAGGGAUAGCCCUUCGAAAGGAGGAUUAAUACCUUAUAAUAUAUUGAAUGGCAUCAUUUAAUAUUGAAAGAUUUAUCGGACUGAGAUAGUCAUGCGUAAGAUUAGCUAGUUGGUAAGGUAACGGCUUACCAAGGCGACGAUCUUUAGGGGGCCUGAGAGGGUGAACCCCCACACUGGUACUGAGACACGGACCAGACUCCUACGGGAGGCAGCAGUGAGGAAUAUUGGACAAUGGGUGGAAGCCUGAUCCAGCCAUCCCGCGUGAAGGAUGACGGCCUUAUGGGUUGUAAACUUCUUUUAUAUGGGGAUAAACCUACUCACGUGUGAGUAGCUGAAGGUACCAUAUGAAUAAGCACCGGCUAACUCCGUGCCAGCCGCCGCCGUAAGAC
rnacentral:rRNA from 1 species